rnacentral:rRNA from 1 species
UGAAGUUGGAAUCGCUAGUAAUCGCGAAUCAGAAUGUCGCGGUGAAUACGUUCCCGGGUCUUGUACACACCGCCCGUCACACCAUGGGAGUCGGAAAUGCCCGAAGUCAGUGACCCAACCGCAAGGAGGGAGCUGCCGAAGGUGGAGCCGGUAACUGGGGUGAAGUCGUAACAAGGUAGC